UAGUGUAUUUAGAUUCUCCAUAAUAUAAGUACAAUCCUUCUUGACGGUAAUAAGUCUUUUCUUACUUGGUAAGAGGUUUAAAAUGUAUUGCAUCAAUUUGCAUAUCCUCUACUUCUGAAUAUAUGUGUUAAAAAGAUGUUGAUAUUGCCAUUGAAUUGUAGUAAUGUUGAGGCUCACUUAUACGUCUCUCAUAUCGAAAUUCAAAAAGUCUAUAUUGUACUUCACAAUAAAGUCAAUUGCUUGAUUCAAUGUUUGAAGAUCAAGUAAAUUGAGCAUCAAUUUCUUUACUUCAUAUUAUAAUCUAUAGAUAAAUUGGCUAAUAAAUGUAGCACCAUCUUAUUUGAUAUUAAUUGUAAGUUGUUGAA
rnacentral:lncRNA from 1 species